ensembl:lncRNA
CUACUAAUGCCUCAGAUAUCUUCAAUAUACCUAAAAUAAUUAAUCAUCCAAUGGAUUGUGCCAAAAUGCCAGUGGAACUGUGAUAGGAAUUGUGGAUUACUUGAGGAAGGCCAACUGAGAUCAAAAAGAAACUGUCUCUACCUGGUGCGCCCACAUAGCAAUUCUGUCCAGCCCAAGAGUCUGGGACAUGCCAGAACAUUUUCUUCUUUAUAGUCUGUGGGAGGCACUGACAAGAACAGUUGAUACAGAUUGCAAGCACAGCGACAUAGUAGUGUCGUAAUGCAUCAUCACAUGCUAUCUUUGGUAUAUUCUAGAAUUUUAUCACGAGGCAUUGAUCCCACACCUGAGAUUUGCCUCCAUUUGAGACUCAGAAUUUUGCAGCUGUUUUCUCAAUGCAGGAAGAGGUCAUUAUUAGAAUGAAGUGAAGAAAGGAAGGCAUGAAGGGGAAAUGGGACUGUUUACGGAGCACAUCUACACAAAGGAGACAGGGGGAAGUGCUGUGCUCUUCAGUGUCUUUGUAGCAUAAAUCACUGAGGCAGAGGAAUUUUUGACAGCUUCCCCUAAGUGCUCGCUUCAAGGGUGAGACCAAAUUUAGUGACAUCAUUUUGCAAGGAGUAGGAGGCGCUUCUUACUGGAGAAGGCACGUCACCAGGGUAUUCUUUGAAGUUUCAAAAGCCCAUACCAGGCCCAGUCUAUCUCUGCCUCCUGUCUGCUGAUCAGGAUGAGGCUCUCCUGCCUCCAUGCCGCUGUGCUUCCCAGCGUGAUGAGCAAAGAAAAACCUUCUGAGAUUGUAAGCAAGCCACCA